rnacentral:rRNA from 1 species
UACAGAGGUGGCAAGCGUUGUUCGGAAUUACUGGGCGUAAAGGGCGCGUAGGCGGCCUACUAAGUCAGACGUGAAAUCCCCCGGCUUAACCUGGGAACUGCGUCUGAUACUGGAAGGCUUGAGGAUGGGAGAGGGAUGUAGAAUUCCAGGUGUAGCGGUGAAAUGCGUAGAUAUCUGGAGGAAUACCGGUGGCGAAGGCGGCAUCCUGGACCGACAUUGACGCUGAGGAGCGAAAGCUAGGGGAGCAAACGGG